AAUCAACGCUGGCGGCGUGCCUCAGACAUGCAAGUCGAACGAUUAAACUUUCCUUCGGGAAAGAUAUAAAGUGGCGCACGGGUGAGUAACACGUAAGUAAUCUACCUUCGAGUGGGGAAUAACGUUCGGAAACGGACGCUAAUACCGCAUAAUGCAGCGGCAUCGCAAGAUGACAGUUGUUAAAGAUUUAUCGCUUGAAGAGGAGCUUGCGGCAGAUUAGCUAGUUGGUAAGGUAAUGGCUUACCAAGGCUACGAUCUGUAUCCGGUCUAAGAGGACGGUCGGACACACUGACACUGAAUAACGGGUCAGACUCCUACGGGAGGCAGCAGUCGGGAAUUUUUGGGCAAUGGGCGAAAGCCUGACCCAGCAACGCCGCGUGAAGGGAUGAAGUAUUUCGGUAUGUAAACUUCGUAAAAAUAGG
rnacentral:rRNA from 1 species